UACCAGCACCCCGAGUGGUCGGGACGUUUUAUUGGGCCUAAAGCAUCCGUAGCCGGUUCUACAAGUCUUCCGUUAAAUCCAGCUGCUUAACAGAUGGGCUGCGGAAGAUACUAUGGAGCUAGGAGGCGGGAGAGGCAAGCGGUACUCGAUGGGUAGGGGUAAAAUCCGUUGAUCCAUUGAAGACCACCAGUGGCGAAGGCGGCGUUGCCAGAACGCGCUCGACGGUGAGGGAUGAAAGCUGGGGGAGCAACCGG
rnacentral:rRNA from 1 species